GACGAACGCUGGCGGCGUGCUUAACACAUGCAAGUCGAACGGAAAGGCCCCUUUGGGGGUACUCGAGUGGCGAACGGGUGAGUAACACGUGAGUAACCUGCCCUUGACUUCGGGAUAACUUCAGGAAACUGGGGCUAAUACCGGAUAGGAAUCCUUGCUGCAUGGUGGGGGUUGGAAAGCUUCGGCGGUUUUGGAUGGACUCGCGGCUUAUCAGCUUGUUGGUGGGGUAGUGGCUUACCAAGGCUUUGACGGGUAGCCGGCCUGAGAGGGCGACCGGCCACAGUGGGACUGAGAUACGGCCCAGACUCCUACGGGAGGAAGCAGUGGGGAAUAUUGCACAAGGGGCGGAAGCCUGAUGCAGCAACGCCGCGGGCGGGAUGACGGCCUUCGGGUUGUAAACCGCUUUCAGCAGGGGCGAAGCUUGUGGUGACGGUACCUGCAGAAGAAGCACCGGCUAACUACGUG
rnacentral:rRNA from 1 species